rnacentral:lncRNA from 1 species
GGGUAUAUAAAACAUAAGGUAAAUAUUUAUUUUUUUGUGCAAAGGAUAACUAUUCAUAUUAUUAAAGUAGAGUAGCAUAAGUAGUAGGAGAGAGCUUAGUCAUUGUCCUAAGGGGGCGACCAUUGAUGGGUCGUAACAAAAAGGGGAUCCCGGGGAGAAGAUACUAUUAUAGUGAUAUUAGGGUCCAUAUCUUGGGGAGUACAUAAAGUUGGUAGAGCCACUCUUCUAACAAAAAGCUUCUGUUUGCGAUCGAUCAUCUUUCAGUGUUGUACGAACAAAAGGUGGUGGUUGUGCAUAAAUAGUGAUUCUUGCAGAACUAUUCAUUUGGCUACCGGACUUUGCAAGUAGGUCAGCGACUUGGUUUUGUUCCCUAUAAGUGUAAAGUAUAGCUGGAUCAUCCAAGUAUGCGAGGAGGAAACUGCAAUCAUUUAUGAUGUUAGCAUAUAAAUGAUGUAAUGUCUGUAGGGUAUAUAGUAAUUAUUUCCUUGGCAUCUGGAUUCAAUUCUAGUGGCUUGUAUCCAUGAGUAAAAGCCAAUUGCAAGCCAUAAUAUAGUGCAAGUAGUUCAGAAAUUCAACGCUCCCAUGAGAGAUAUGGUGACCUGCAAAACCCAUAAGCCAGGUACCAGAUGAGUCACGUAUUACACCGCCAAUCUCGUCCGGUCCUGCAGUCAACUUACGGAAACCAUCAAUAUUUAAUUUAAAAUGAGUGGAGCGAGUGGGAUGCCAUUUGAUAUAUAUAUAUAUACCAAUGGUGCACGCUCGCGUGAGGACACUGGUGGAACCGUAAUGUAGUAGUAUGAAAAUAUGGGAUGAGGAGGGUGGUGUGGUGUGUGUGCGAUAUAUAUAUAUAUAUGUACCAAUGGUGUACGCUCGUGUGGGGACAAUGGUGGAACCGUAAUGUAGUAGUAUGAAAAUAUGGGAUGAGGAGGGUGGUGCGGUGUGUGCGCGAAACACUUUUUCAUUUCUAGCUAGCCAAAUAUGCCAUAAACAAUGUAGCUGCACCAUUGGAACAUGCCUACAAAUAGGAGUGACAAACAGGCGGGUCGGGUCGAAUAUUCGCGGGUCAAAAACAGAUAAUUUAAAAAAAAUGGAUAAAAAAUAGGUUAUCCGGCGGAUAAUAUGGAUAUCCAUAUUAUCCAUGGCUUCUUGAAUAUGAUCACUUAUGGGGGAAUUCCUAGACUCUCAAAUUUGAGGAACCCCCAAUUUGAGACUUUACAAAUGUAAAAGUUAAACACAUUAGUUAUCUAUUGGUUAUCCAUUUAGUUAACCAUUUUCUAAGUGGAUAAUAUGGUUCUUAUCCAUAUUCAACCCAUUUUUAGAAAAAUCCUUCAUCCAACCCAUUUUUUAAUGGAUAAUAUGAGUGGAUAACUAUUUGUUUUACCCAUUUUGCCACAUCUACCUACAAAUAUGCCAUAUAUAUAUAUAUAUAUAUGGCAUAUUUGUAGGCAUGUUCCAAUGGUGUAGCUAUCAGUGACGGAGCCAGGAUUUACACAAAGGGGUAUCAAAAUCUAAAGAAGAAGCCAAGAAAAAUAAUUCUACUAGUGACAGCAAAAUAAAAUUAUAUUAGUACAAUCGUACUCGAUGGGGUUUCAUUUCUUGAAAUAUUUUUACAAUAUCAUCAUUAGAAAUAGUACUAAAUACAUAUUUUUCUACGUAAGGCACCAAGCAACCACUUAAAAGUUCAUCAUUCAUUCGAUUACGUAUGCCAUUCUUGAUAAACUUUAUUGUCGAAAAAGCUCUUUCAACCGAUGCAGUGGCAACUGACAAAAGCAAAGCAAAUUUCACCAAGCAGAAUGCAAGAGGGGGGUUUAAAUACUUCUUUGUCUGAACCAAUUUUCUUGAAAGAUCACAAAGUCCAUUCAAAUUGGAGAACCUUUCAUCAAUAUCACAGACAUCAAUAAUGUAUGUCGCAAGCUGAUUCUCAAGAGCAUCCAUACUAACUUCAUCAAAGUCAUCAGGAUAUAAUUUAGCCAUUUUCAUGAUCUUCUUGAUGUCAAAACUAGAAAAUGAGUCAAUUGGAUUCAAACAAGAAACUCCAUGAAGCAAAUCAAUAGUCACUUCGUCAAAACGACCAUUGAGUUCUUGAAUUUGCCAAUCAAUAAUCUUACAAAACACAUCAACACGAUAAUGAUGUAAAAUAGUAUGAUCGGCAAAUUUACGUCGUGAUCUUAAAGAGUUAAAGUAUGGCUCAUCAAAAUUAGGUAUUAAAAUGCCAUACUUGAUACAAAAUGUAGAUACUUUCUCAAUAAGUGAAUCCCAAUCAUCUUCUCUUAAACUUUGCAACCUUCUCUUUGCUACUUCUACAAGUAGCAUGGCGUUUGCGAUAUCUUGCUCCUUUUUUUGUAAGCAUUUAUUUAGCUCAUUUGUGAUUGCCAAAACAUCUCUCAUCAAAUGCAACAUGAAUGCAACCUUAAAUGUUUGACAAGUUCUAAGAUAUCCCAUUGCCUUAGCUCUCUCAUCCAUCAAACGUGCAUCAACAACAAGUGCUUCAAGAACAUCAAGAAUAGAGCCAAACAUACGAAUAAAUUUUUUAAAAGAUUUGUAAUGAGAACCCCAACGAGUAUCACAAGCUCUUGAAAGACCAAGUUCUUGAUUCAAGCCUCUACCGAUUUUAAGCUCACCCAUAUCUAAUGCCUCUUCAAUUCUUUCCUUUUGAGAUUCUUGAAAUUCAUCCAUACGCUUAAAAGAAGAUCCCAACACAUUCAAAGUAUUUGAGACCAAAACUACAAGUUCUCCUACUUGAAUACAUUUUUUUGAAACAACAACAAGAGUUAAUUGAAGUUGAUGAGCAAAACAAUGAAUAGAAUGAGCCGAUCUACUUUCUUGCCUAAUCAACAUUUUAAGGCCAUUGAGCUCACCUUGCAUAUUGCUUGCUCCAUCGUAACAUUGCCCACAGACAUAUGAUAGACUUAAGGAAUGUUUAGCAAGUAAAUAAACAAUUGCCUUCUUUAGAGAUGAAGCACAAGUAUCAUUGACAUGAACAAUAUCAAUAAGUCGCUCCACCACAAAUCCCAUUCUAUCAACAUAUCGUAAGACAAUAGCCAUUUGCUCCUUUCGCGACACAUCAAAAAAUUCAUCAACUAAUAAGGCAAAAUAGUCACCAUUUAAUUCUGUAAUGAUAGCUUUGAUUGUUUCCAUCUUACAUGCAGCCACGAUAUCUUUUUGAAUCAUUGGAGAAGUCAUAUGAUCAUUUUGAGGAGCAUAUUCCAAUACAUAAUCAUGAUUUUUAUCACAUUCCUUUGCAUACUAUGAGAGAAUUUCAAGAAAAUUACCCCUGUUAAAUGAUGUUUUAGAUUCAUCAUGACCCCCGAAAUGCAAAUUCUUGCUUCAAAAGAAGUCUUACUACAUUAACCGAAGAAGUUAAGCGAAUCCAGUAAUCAUGCUUAACUUGAUCAGAUUGCCUCUCAAAUGCAGAUAUAAUGGAUUGUUGUUGCCAUAGUAGAUCUACACAUUUUCUUUUUGCAUGAUUAUGAUUGAUACUUGGCCCACCAACAUGCUUAUCAAAGCUCUUCUUUUUGUUCCAACUCUUAAACCCUAUGCUCGAAAAUACAUCACCUCCACCUUGAUGAAUGUUAUCAUCUUUAAACAAAUAACAACUCAAACAAUAUGCUGCAUCGUUACUUAUACUAUACUCCAACCACUCAUGAUAAUCAUCAAACCAUUUAGGAUUGAAACGACACAUUAAUCUAUAAAAAUCUGUUUGAGGAAAUUUAUGUUCUCGAGGUUGACAAGCACCUCUCUGAAUGUAUGCUCUUCUAAUCUCAUCGUGGAGGUUUGGAUGGUAGUCCAAGAUUUGAGUUCUUUUGGUCGGAUCGGGGUUUAAAGUUUCAAGAUUAAUUUGCUGUCUUUGAGAAGAAUAUAGUGGUACUUCUAAUUGGUUGCAAUCUUCGUCCAAGUUAGAUUGAUUAUUAGUGGCCAAAUUUGAUUUUGGUACUGCAUCUUCUUCCAAGUUAUAUUGCUUAUGAGGAGCGGCCAAACUUGAUUUCGGUACUUUGAAAAAAAAUUGCUUCAUUGAUUUUUGAUUAUGAAUUAUAAAAUAAAAUUUAAUUAGAAGAAAUACAAGUAAUAUUUUCUAUAAAAUAUCACAAUUCACAGUUAUAACAACUGUCAAGUUUGUCAAGAUUUCCAGACUUUUGGUACAUGGAUUUUCACUUAAAGGUAAAGAAACACUUAAAAGUCCAAGAUGCUCACACAGUCACACGAAUUAAAAGCAGCCUAACGAAUGUAAAUGAGAAAUUCAAAGGAACUACACAAACUAACCACAAAGUCAAUGAUAAAUAUAAAUGUGAAAUUCAAAGGAACUACACAAACUGACCACAAAGUCGAUCCAAUCCACCUUAAUAGAGUACCAAAGAUUUGCAAAGAGUAAAGGAACUUACCGUGGCUGUCAUGACAGGCGAAUAUCGACCAGUGAUUUGUAAAGAGGACCAACGACGGCGAGUCGGUGACAGCAAUGGGCACACACAACGCACUUGAGCAAUUUUGAGAAUGAGAGCACUAACUUUUGAAAUUAGGGAUUUCUUUAAUCCCAAUUUCGUUUGUUAGUUUCAAAAAGAGCACUUACAACUAAUAAAAC